rnacentral:sRNA from 1 species
GUCUAUCCUGGUACUGCCUUUCUUUUCAAGAGACCAUUCUUCAACAGAACUGUAAGGUUUCUUCUUGGCUGAAUCAGAUGUGACACAUCCCACUUCCGAGUUUGAGGUCUAGCACAUACCGCUCCAAGGGCUUUGACGUCACAGUGAAGUACACACAAGGAAGCUGGACGGGCUUCGUUGGGGAAGACCUCGUCACCAUCCCCAAAGGCUUCAAUAGUUCUUUUCUUGUCAACAUUGCCACUAUUUUUGAAUCAGAGAAUUUCUUUUUGCCUGGGAUUAAAUGGAAUGGAAUACUUGGCCUAGCUUAUGCCACACUUGCCAAGCCAUCAAGUUCUCUGGAGACCUUCUUCGACUCCCUGGUGACACAAGCAAACAUCCCCAACAUUUUCUCCAUGCAGAUGUGUGGAGCCGGAUUGCCCGUUGCUGGAUCUGGGACCAACGGAGGUAGUCUUGUCCUGGGUGGAAUUGAACCAAGUUUGUAUAAAGGAGACAUCUGGUAUACCCCUAUUAAGGAAGAGUGGUACUACCAGAUAGAAAUUCUGAAAUUGGAAAUUGGAGGCCAAAGCCUUAAUCUGGACUGCAGAGAGUAUAACGCGGACAAGGCCAUCGUGGACAGUGGCACCACGCUGCUGCGCCUGCCCCAGAAGGUGUUUGAUGCAGUAGUGGAAGCUGUGGCCCACGCAUCUCUGAUUCCAGAAUUCUCUGAUGGUUUCUGGACUGGGUCCCAGCUGGCGUGCUGGACGAAUUCGGAAACACCUUGGUCUUACUUCCCUAAAAUCUCCAUCUACCUGAGAGAUGAGAACUCCAGCAGGUCAUUCCGUAUCACAAUCCUGCCUCAGCUUUACAUUCAGCCCAUGAUGGGGGCCGGCCUGAAUUAUGAAUGUUACCGAUUCGGCAUUUCCCCAUCCACAAAUGCGCUGGUGAUCGGUGCCACGGUGAUGGAGGGCUUCUACGUCAUCUUCGACAGAGCCCGGAAGAGAGUGGGCUUCGCAGCGAGCCCCUGUGCAGAAAUUGCAGGUGCUGCAGUGUCUGAAAUUUCCGGGCCUUUCUCAACAGAGGACGUAGCCAGCAACUGUGUCCCCGCUCAGUCUUUGAGCGAGCCCAUUUUGUGGAUCGUGUCCUAUGCGCUCAUGAGCAUCUGUGGAGCCAUCCUCCUUGUCUUAAUCGUCCUGCUGCUGCUGCCGUUCCGGUGUCAGCAUCGACCCCGUGACCCUGAGGUCGUCAAUGAUGAGUCCUCUCUGGUCAGACAUCGCUGGAAAUGAAUAGCCAGGCCUGACCUCAAGCAACCAUGAACUCAGCUAUUAAGAAAAUCACACUUCCAGGGCAGCAGCCGGGAUCAACAGCGGCGCUUUCUCCUGUGCCCGCCCGUCUUCAAUCUCUGUUCUGCUCCCAGAUGCCUUCUAGAUUCACUGUCUUUUGAUUCUUGAUUUUCAAGCUUUCAAAUCCUCCCUACUUCCAAGAAAAAUAAUUAAAAAAAAAAAAACUUCAUUCUAAACCAAAACAGAGUGGAUUGGGCUGCAGGCUCUAUGGGGUUCGUUAUGCCAAACUGUCUACAUGUGCCACCAACACAAAACAAAACCAAGCCUUGGCUCAUUCUCUUCUCUCUUCAAUCUCUGGAAAAAUAAGUGCAUAUAGUUGAUAACCCCUCUUAGCUUACAGGAAGCUUUUUGUAUUAAUCGCCUUUGAGGGUAUUUUGCGCCAGACCUCAACCUGGGUCAAAGUGGUACAAGAAGGCUUGCAGUAUGAUGGCAGGAGAAUCAGCCUGGGGCCUGGGGAUGUAACCAAGCUGUACCCUUGAGACCUGGAACCAGAGCUGCAGGCCCCUUUUGUGGGUUUCUCUGUGCUCUGAAUGGGAGCCAGAAUUCACUAGGAGGUCAUCAACCAAUGGUCCUCACAAGCCUCUUCUGAAGAUGGAAGGCCUUUUGCCCGCUGAGGUAGAGGGGAAGGAAAUCUCCUCCUUUGUACCCAAUACUUGUGUUGUAUUGUUGGUGCGAAAGUAAAAACACUACCUCUUUUGAGACUUUGCCCAGGGUCCUGUGCCUGGGUGGGGGUGCAGGCAGCCUUGACCACGGCUGUUCCCCUCACCCAAAAGAAUUAUCAUCCCAACAGCCAAGACCCAACAGGUGCUGAACUGUGCAUCGACCAGGAAGAGUUCUGUCACCAAGCUGGCCACUAUCACAUAUGCUUACUCUUGCUUAAAAUUAAUAAAUCAUGUUUUGAUGAGAAAAAACUAUUCUA